AGAGUUUGAUCAUGGCUCAGGACGAACGCUGGCGGCGUGCUUAACACAUGCAAGUCGAACGGUGACCCUCGGAGCUUGCUUCGGGGUGAGCAGUGGCGAACGGGUGAGUAACACGUGAGUAACCUGCCCCUGACUCUGGAAUAAGCGCUGGAAACGGCGCCUAAUACCGGAUAUGACGCGAACGGGCAUCCGUAUCGUGUGGGAAGUUUUUCGGUCUGGGAUGGACUCGCGGCCUAUCAGCUUGUUGGUGAGGUAAUGGCUCACCAAGGCGAUGACGGGUAGCCGGCCUGAGAGGGCGAUCGGCCACACUGGGACUGAGACACGGCCCAGACUCCUACGGGAGGCAGCAGUGGGGAAUAUUGCACAAUGGGCGAAAGCCUGAUGCAGCGACGCCGCGUGAGGGAUGACGGCCUUCGGGUUGUAAACCUCUUUCAGCAGGGAAGAAGCGCAAGUGACGGUACCUGCAGAAGAAGCACCGGCUAACUACGUGCCAGCAGCCGCGGUAAUACGUAGGGUGCGAGCGUUGUCCGGAAUUAUUGGGCGUAAAGAGCUUGUAGGCGGUUUGUCGCGUCUGCUGUGAAAAUCCGGGGCUCAACCCCGGACUUGCAGUGGGUACGGGCAGACUAGAGUGUGGUAGGGGAGACUGGAAUUUCUGGUGUAGCGGUGAAAUGCGCAGAUAUCAGGAGGAACACCGAUGGCGAAGGCAGGUCUCUGGGCCACUACUGACGCUGAGAAGCGAAAGCAUGGGGAGCGAACAGGAUUAGAAACCCUGGUAGUCCAUGCCGUAAACGUUGGGAACUAGGUGUGGGUCUCAUUCCACGAGAUCCGUGCCGCAGCUAACGCAUUAAGUUCCCCGCCUGGGGAGUACGGCCGCAAGGCUAAAACUCAAAGGAAUUGAC
rnacentral:rRNA from 1 species